GGUGAACCUGCGGAAGGAUCAUUAAUGAAUUGCUAGAAGGUUGUUGCUGGCUCCUAUGGGGGCAUGUGCACACCUUUUAUCUUUCUUUCCACCUGUGCACUGUUUGUAGGCCUAGCCUAUGAUUUUACAUACUCAUUAACAUAUGUGUAAUGGUUGGCUCAUAAUAUAAAAAUACAACUUUCAACAAUGGAUCUCUUGGUUCUCGCAUCGAUGAAGAACGCAGCGAAAUGCGAUAAGUAAUGUGAAUUGCAGAUCUCAGUGAAUCAUCGAAUCUUUGAACGCACCUUGCGCUCUUUGGUAUUCCAAAGGGCAUGCCUGUUUGAGUGUCAUUAAAUUCUCAAUGCAAUGCCUUGUGCUCUGCAUUGGAUUUGAAGAUUGCUGGCUUACAUCAGAGUCAGCUUCUUUGAAAUGCAUUAGUAGGAUCAUCAUGCUGGAUCGAUACAGGUGUGAUAAGUUAUCACCAUCUGAGAUUAGGCAAAAGAACCUGCUCAUAACAA
rnacentral:sRNA from 1 species